CACUCAGGAUACACACACACACAGACACACACACGCACACAUACCGCAUAGUCAAGGAUUUGCUUGAAAGCAGCCAGUUCUAUUAUCUAAAAGGUAAUACAUUUGUACCAAAUUACUCCUGCCUACUGCGGUGCACCUUUCAGCGAAGAAGCCAGUGCCACUGGGAUCCUGGACAGUUCUCGUGUGUCAUUCUCCACGUACAAAGCCAACGGCCCCAUUUGCGACUUUGCUAACUUAGUUGGCUUCCGCCCAGCCGAACCCCGAAGCACAGUCACUGAAAACGUUUUGAUACCAGAAAAUCAUUUCCACGACAGUGCAAGUGUUCGAAAGCACAAAGGCAGACUGUCUACCCGCGACAGUUCGCAAGUUGCGGUGGCGGGGCGGCUGUGCGAAGCGCGCGUGCAGGCGGAGUUUUGCUCUUGUUGCCCAGGCUGGAGUGCAAUCGUGCGAUCUCAGCUCACCGUAACCUCUGCCUCCCGGAUUCAAGUGAUUCUCCUGCCUCAGUCUCCUGAGUAGCUGGGAUUACAGGCAUGCACCACCAUGCCUGGCUAAUUUUGUAUUUUUUUUUUCUUUUAGUAGAAAUGGGGUUUCUCCAUGUUGGUCAGGCUAGUUGAGAAUUCCUGACCUCAGGUGAUCUGCCCCCCUCGGCCUCUCAAAGUGCUGGGAUUACAAAUGUGAACAUUUUCUUACUGAUUCUGUCUAAUGUUUCUGUUUAAUAUGGUUACCAGGGGAAGCCCAUCUGGGGGAAGGGUUUAUAAGUUUAACUAAAAUGUGAGAAAUGGAGAUAGAGAACACUGUAGUGUUCUUUCCAGCCAAAGCUCGUUAAUACAGUUUUGGUCAUGUUCGAAGACUUUUAAAAAAUGGGUUUGGAGACAAUUUUAUGUCCAGUCUUUAAUCACUAACCACAGCGUGUUUCUCCCGUCACUUCCGUGAUUCCGAGGUUAGCAUAUAAUGUUUGGAUCACGGCAAUGGCUGCAUUGUGAGCCACAUAUAAAAAAAGUUGUAAUCAAUUUCUUUGAUGUCAUAAAGUCACAGCCCACCAAUCUAAUAUCAACGUAAUGGGAUAGAAAUUGUCAGGCUGUAUUAAAAAAAAAUUAAAGCAUCAACAAAAUCUGCUUCUAGCAAGAAACAUGUAUAUUAAAAGACUAUUUGGGGGAAAAAAAUGAAUGUAAAUCCUUCCUUGUUUGAGUGACUUCUAGUAGUUCAUAUGUUUUCUAAAACAAAAGCGUCUGGAAAAUGAAGGCCAUUCCAUGGAAGCUGGUGAAUAUGUAGGGUCCUUAUAAGGUCUAGCUUUCUGGAGUUUGUCAUUAAAGUGUGGUUUUAUGAUUCCUCCCAAAAAAGGUGGGGGUAAGAAAAGGGAGAACCCAGAACAAGGGAGAGAGAAGAAUGGUGGCAAACAGGAAUAUGGACAAACUGGAGACUGAUCUGUAAACUUGGGAGGAGAUGGUUUCCUUAAGAAGUCUGCAUGUAAUAUUUAAGUGAUGCAUUCAUAUAACAUCUUGACUUAAUAAAAGAAAAAGAAAAGAAAAUGAAAGAAAAAAUCUGCAGCAAGACAAUAAAAAGUUUCCUCCUCAUACCCACCGCCUUAGGGGUUUUUCCUUGGAGCCUCAGAGCUUAUCCCACUGAAACUCAUCAAUUUUUGCUUUUAUGCUGGAAAUGCCCAAAAACAUUUGAAGCUUCAUAGCCACCCCUUGGGGUGAGAAGGUUUCACAAUGCCCGCAGAGCCACACAGCCUGUCCCCAGGGAAGGCCAAGGGGCCACAGGGUGGGGGAGAGAGGCAUUCUUUCUGUUCCUAGGCAGGGAUCAAGUGCCCUUCCCCUGCCAGUCUGCAAACAAAGGACCCAACCUCAAAGCUCUUGCCCCAGUGCGUGACCUCGGGGGCCAAAGGCAAAACAUUUUAUCUCUGGGUCCUAGUGACAUAAGCUCCUCAGGCUCUGCAAUUGUAGUUUAUGAUGUGACUAGAAACCUUUGAUGGAAUGACUAUUGCCUUCUAUUUCUCUGCCCAGCCAUUUAUUAUUCUGUAUAUUUUUGAGAGCUGUGGGAAACUUUCAUAACCAAAGCCUGAGCCAGGCUAAAACUUGUUCUAUUUGGAAUCUCUAAUGAAGUCAAAACAUGGCCUGGAUUUUCUGAAAGGCUCCUCUGGCUGCCUGCAACAGCCCCAGGGCACAAUCAGACAGGGAUGGAGAAGGCCUGGGAGCAGAUUUUGUUACCAAGAAUAGGACAGAACAAUGUUUGCCUCCAAAACACUAGGGCUGCUAUUUACCUUCUCAGCUGGAAGAAGUGAGGCAUAAAUGCAUUAUUGCACAUAAAGUGUAAAUACCAAUUCUUUAAUUUCUAAAUUUUUAGGAUUUUAUUUUUUCUUAACUCCCCUUAAAUAAAACGUCAGGGAAAAUUUUUAGCAUAAUUGAUUUCCUGAACUAAGGGAAUAAAUUCAUUUCAGAAGUUUUGACCCUCUAAAGUGCUGUUACUUUGCCUAAAAUGGAAGUAUGGAGGAGGCAGAAUAAAAAUUGUAAGACAUUUCCAGGUGAUUAUGGGGGUUGAGAACGCUUCCAUGUGUGUGCUGUGUGUGUUGGCAAUGUCAUCAUUUCAGGAACUGCUAUGAAAAAACCAAGUUUCCCUAUGUUUGGAUGUAAAACUUCAUCUACUUUUCAGAAGCUCUCCAAAAUUAUUUACCAGCUUGAGACUGCUCCCUCAAAAGGAGCCUCAGUUCCUAACAAAAGUGACUUUUUGUAGAAACUCUGCAGGUCAGAAGAUUUUUGUAUGGAAUGAUCUUCUCCAAUCAAUUAUUUGAAUCUAAGGUGUGCUCAAGAGGAUAAUCAGUUUCCCAUUCAACCACUUAGGAUUCUUUCUCUCUGCAUCCUAAAUUUGGCUUUGAGACCUUGGAUGACGAUUCUCCUAAUCUGGUCAAUGGACCACCUGCAAGAAUCACCCAGGACUGGAGCCCAGGAAUCUGCUCAGUAACGUGACUGGGGUGCAUGUGAGCUAACAUUUAAGAACUACUUUUGCAGAGUCUAAUAUGUGUAGACUCUAAUAUGUGCAGAGUCUAAUAUGUGUAAACUGUGUAGCUCUCUACUCUCUCAUGCACUUUGCAUCAUCUUCUAGUCAUUGUGUCCUGGAGCCCAGCCCAAAAGGCCUCCCAAUCCCUGCCCUGCUUUGUUUUGGUCAAGAAGGGUAUCUCUGGAGCACACUUACCAUGGUAGAUCUUGAUUUGUAUCAGGUAUUUAUGAAAAAUUGCCACACAUAACUACAAUUCUUUUUGAAAUAACUUAUUAUACGUAAAAUUAAAUUGCUUUCCACUCAAUGAAUAUCUGUAAGAAAUAGCUUUUUAAUUUUCUUAUUUUUUAUUUUUGAGGCAGGGUCUCACUUUGCUGCCCAGGCUGGUUUCAAACUCCUGGGCUCAAGCUAUCCUCCCACCUCAGCCCCCACGGUAGCUGCGACUACAUGCACAUGCCACAAUGUCUGGCUAAUUGAAAAAAAAAAAAAAUUUUUUUUUGGUCGGGCGUGGUGGCUCAUGCCUGUAAUCCCAGCACUUUGGGAGGCUGAGGUGGGCGGAUCACUUGAGGUCAGGAGUUUGAGACCAGCCUGGCCAACCAACAUGGUGAAAACCCAUCUCUACUAAAAGUACAAAAAAAUUAGUUGGGCAUGGUGGCAGGCACCUGUAAUCCCAGCUACUUGGGAGGCUGAGGCAUGAGAAUUGUUUGAACCCAGAGGCAGAGGUUGCAGUGAGCUGAGAUCACGCUACUGCACUCCAGCCUGGGCAACAGAGCGAGACCCUGUCUCAAAAAAGUAAAAAUUAAAACAAAACACAAAAAAAUUUUUAUUUAAGUCAUGGUCUCACUCUGCUUCCCAGGCUGAUCUCAAACUCCCAGGCUCAGGGGACCCUCCUUGCUCAAUCUCCUACAGUGCUGGGGUUACAAGUGUGAGCCCCUGCACCUGCCCUUAAUUAAUUAAUUAAUUAUAAAUGGGAAGCACUGAAACUGUGUCCUUCCCCCUCUUACUCUUCCAGAGGAAGAGAAGAUCAUCAGUGGCAAAUGGCAGUCACAGGAAAGCAACACCUACAGCCGGUUUCACACGUGUGGAGAGCACCCUGAGCCUCCUCCUCCUGGUUUCCCGUGCUCUGCAAGUUCAGAGAAACUUCUCUCACAACCAACUAUAGAAACGAUCUCGGAACGUACAGUCUUAGAAAUGGCUUUUUAAUUGCAGCAUAUCAGAGUGAAAAAAGACCCAGAGUUGUUGGAAUCAGACAAUCCUGGUUUCAAAUCGGUUUCAUUGUUCAUCUUCAUGUGAUGUUUGGCAAGAAAUAAAACAUUUCUGCGUUCAGUU